UCCCUCUUAGCUCAGUUGGUAGAGCGCGUCACUAGUAUAUGCACAGGAAUCUGUCCUUACUAAAUGACGAGGUCAGUCGUUCAAAUCGGCUAGCGGGAA